UUGUCUCUUAACUUAACACAUGCCAUUAUCAACAAUGUUACAAAACUUUUAAUCAUUAUUAAACUACGUACAAACUUGCAAUAGCAAUAUAAUACCAUAAUCAAAUGAUAAUUAAAAUAAGAAGAGUAAAAUAAGAGAUACCUCAAAUCUCUCAUCAACAAUUGCUUCUUACUUAAUGCUUGAGGUGGAUUUUCUGUUUUCUUACUUCUUAGCAACAAUGACAUUUGGAACCGAUGAAGAGAUAAACCAUGCUUGAGAAAAUGUCCUGUUCUAAAAAAUGGAAAGAAUAUUAAAAAUCCCUAACUAAAAUAUUAAUAAAGUUCAAUAUAGUUUGAGGCAUAAAAUAUAAUUAAGUUAAAAUUAAUUGAUCAUGUGCAAAACUUACACAAAUAACUUACUAAGAGGGCACGUUUUAGCAUUGUAGAUGAAAACAAAAAUAACACAAGUUCAUCCUACUAAAAACCAAUGAACAACCCCUGCAAGAUAACACAACAGCAGAGGAAACUACACAAAACUCCAGACAGUCACAGGCAUCGCAAAGCUAGACAACAUCGCAAA
rnacentral:lncRNA from 1 species